GAGUUUGAUCAUGGCUCAGGAUGAACGCACAAGACGUGCCUAACACAUGCAAAUCGAAUGAAAAGAAUUAAUUAUUGUUUUCAUGGUGAACGGGUGAGUAACACAUAAGAAUCAGCUUUUAGAUAAGGCAUAAAAGAGUAAUAUCUUGGUAAUUCCUUAUAUGCGCAGCAGUGCUUAAAAAGGGGAGUCCCGUCUAAAAACGAGCUUAUGCCUGAUUAGCUAGUUGGCGAGUUAAAAGCUCACCAAGGCGAAGAUCAGUAGCUGGCCUGAGAGGGCGGCCAGCCACAUUGGGACUGAGACACGGCCCAAACUCCUACGGGAGGCAGCAGUGGGGAAUCUUCUGCAAUGGGCGCAAGCCUGACAGAGCGGCGUCGUGUGAAGGAAGAAGGCCUGAAAUAGGUUGUAAACUUCUUUUACUGAGUAAUGAUUAAUGACAACGCAGUAAAAAAGUAUCGGCUAACUCCGUGCCAGCAGCCGCGGUAAUACGGGGGAUGCAAGCGUUAUCCGGAAUCACUGGGCGUAAAGCGUCUGUAGGUGGUUUAGUGUGUUCUUAGUUAAAUUAUGAAGCCUAACUUCAUGAAAAGUAAGAAAACUAUUAGACUUGAGUACGAUAGGGGUAAGAGGAAUUCUUCGAGAAGUAGUGAAAUGCGAAGAUACGAAGGAAAAGAUCAUAAGCGAAGGCUUCUUACUGGGUCGUAACUGACACUGAGAGACGAAAGCUAGGGGAGCGAAUGGGAUUAGAUACCCCAGUAGUCCUAGCUGUAAACGAUGGAUAUUCGGUGCCGGAAAUUUUAUUAGAACAUUUCGGUACCCUAGCUAACGCGUUAA
rnacentral:rRNA from 1 species